rnacentral:rRNA from 1 species
GGAUGGGAGCUUGCUCCCUGAAGUCAGCGGCGGACGGGUGAGUAACACGUGGGCAACCUGCCUGUAAGACUGGGAUAACUUCGGGAAACCGGAGCUAAUACCGGAUAAUGCACAGCCUCUCAUGAGGCUAUGCUGAAAGAUGGUUUCGGCUAUCACUUACAGAUGGGCCCGCGGCGCAUUAGCUAGUUGGUGAGGUAACGGCUCACCAAGGCAACGAUGCGUAGCCGACCUGAGAGGGUGAUCGGCCACACUGGGACUGAGACACGGCCCAGACUCCUACGGGAGGCAGCAGUAGGGAAUCUUCCGCAAUGGACGAAAGUCUGACGGAGCAACGCCGCGUGAGUGAUGAAGGUUUUCGGAUCGUAAAACUCUGUUGUCAGGGAAGAACAAGUGCCGGAGUAACUGCCGGCACCUUGACGGUACCUGACCAGAAAGCCACGGCUAACUACGUGCCAGCAGCCGCGGUAAUACGUAGGUGGCAAGCGUUGUCCGGAAUUAUUGGGCGUAAAGCGCGCGCAGGCGGUCUCUUAAGUCUGAUGUGAAAGCCCACGGCUCAACCGUGGAGGGUCAUUGGAAACUGGGGGACUUGAGUGCAGAAGAGGAAAGUGGAAUUCCACGUGUAGCGGUGAAAUGCGUAGAGAUGUGGAGGAACACCAGUGGCGAAGGCGACUUUCUGGUCUGUAACUGACGCUGAGGCGCGAAAGCGUGGGGAGCAACAGGAUUAGAUACCCUGGUAGUCCACGCCGUAACGAUGAGUGCUAAGUGUUAGAGGGUUUCCGCCCUUUAGU